AAGUGUUUCAGAAAUUGAGGCAUUUGAAGGAUUUCUCUGCAUAGCAGCUGUGCCCUUCAAUCAAACCCCUCAUUGUGAACACCAGACGUGUCUUCUCCCUACCGCACAAGGCUGACAAACUGUAUACCUCCGGGGAGCCCCGCCCACAUUGCAUGCGGUAGAACAUGAAGAGGCGAAGUGUCACAGGAUGAAUCUAUGCUAUUUGGAGAGGGAGUAUACAUUUAACUUGAAGCAAUCCCUGGAAGAAAAAUUCUACUAGCAGAGAUGCUCUGAGCAGGGAGAAAGCCUGUCUAUAUAGUGAAAGAAUGAAACCAAUACAUUGAAAAAAACUGAGAAGAGAAAGAGGUAGAGACUUCAUCUGAUACAAGCAUGCUUGAAACAAGAGACACCUGUAUGAUUCCAUCUUCCCAGGAGCUAGCAGGCAGUUCUUGUUGAGUUCAAGCCAGUUGAGACCAUCAACCCUUCAACUGAGCCUGCAUGGGCCUGUUUUCAGGGAGGUGGAUUUGCGAUUUGUUCUCCUUCUCCUUGCUCAGCAGCCUGGUAAGCAAUCUCACAAAAUAAAAUCUUUUCUUUUUUGCAAAA
rnacentral:lncRNA from 10 species